rnacentral:rRNA from 1 species
UACAGAGGGUGCAAGCGUUGUUCGGAAUUACUGGGCGUAAAGCGCACGUAGGCGGCUUUGCAAGUUAGAGGUGAAAGCCCGGGGCUCAACUCCGGAAUUGCCUUUAAAACUGCAUCGCUAGAGUUGUGGAGAGGUAAGUGGAAUUCCGAGUGUAGAGGUGAAAUUCGUAGAUAUUCGGAAGAACACCUGAGGCGAAGGCGGCUAUCUGGUGGUGCACUGACGCUGAGGCGCGAAAGCGUGGGGAGCAAACAGG